rnacentral:lncRNA from 1 species
GUCUCUAAAGAUACAGAGAGGGACAGGCAAUGAUAAUAUGAUGGAAACACCAUACAUGAGGAGUUCUUCACUCAGAGGGUGGUGACGCACUGAACAGGUUGCCCAAGGAGGCUGUGGAUGCCCCAUCCCUGGAGGCAUUCAAGGCCAGGCUGGAUGUGGCUCUGGGCAGCCUGGUCUGCUGGUUGGCGACCCUGCACGUAGCAGGGGGUUGAAACUGGAUGGUCAUUGUGGUCCUUUUCAACCCAGGUCAUUCUAUGGUUCUAUGAUUCUAUGAUAAAAACUAAUAGAGAGUAACAACUUGGAAAAAAAAAAAAA